rnacentral:lncRNA from 1 species
CGGAGGCAGCGCGGCUCCGCGAGCUCCUCUCCACUUUCCCAUAGAGAGCCCCUGACUGGCCGCUGAGGGCGAGCCACACACACGCCCUCGCGCCGCGGCGAGCCCGCGAGGUCACUGUCAUAUGACAAAGGCUUUGCUGCAGUUCAUCUUCCUUCCUGUGUACCUCCAUUUACCUUCCAGGAAUCCUGCUGCAUCACAGAAGCUGGAAGUUCUGAUGUUCCACUGAAAUCACAAUGGGAAGUCUUGACUUGACUGGUCACAGUAAUGAAAGGCAGUAAUAGAAAUAAAGAUCAUUCAGCAGAAGGAGAAGGGGCCGGAAAACGACCAAAACGGAAGUGUCUUCAGUGG